rnacentral:rRNA from 1 species
UCGCGCUUUGCCCACUGUCUCUUACCCAUGUCUUUUGAGUACUUACGUUUCCUCGGUGGGCUCGCCCGCCGGUUGGACAAUUUAAACCAUUUGCAGUUGCAAUCAGCCUCUGAAAAACAUAAUAGUUACAACUAUCAACAACGGAUCUCUUGGUUCUGGCAUCGAUGAAGAACGCAGCGAUAUGCGAUAAGUACUGUGAAUUGCAGAAUUCAGUGAAUCAUCGAAUCUUUGAACGCACAUUGCGCCCCUUGGUAUUCCAUGGGGCAUGCCUGUUCGAGCGUCAUUUGUACCUUCAAGCUCUGCUUGGUGUUGGGUGUUUGUCUCGCCUUGCGCGUAGACUCGCCUUAAAACAAUUGGCAGCCGGCGUAUUGAUUUCGGAGCGCAGUACAUCUCGCGCUUUGCACUCAUAACGACGACGUCCAAAAGUACUUUUUUACACUCUUGACCUCGUAUCAGGUAGGGAUACCCGCUGAACUUAAGCAUAUCAUUAAGCGGAGAAAAUCAUUACUACAGUUUGUGGGCUUUGCCCCGAUCCUUACCAUGUCUUUUGAGUACUUAGUUUCUCGUGGGCUCCCGUCGUUGGACAAUUUAAACAUUUGCGUUGCAAACACGUCUGAAAAACAUAAUAGUUAACUUUACAACGGAUCUCUUGGUUCUGCAUCAGAAAACCACGAAAUGCAUAGUAUUGUGAAUUCAAAUUAGGAAACUCAAAUCUAUAAGGAGC